UUUUGCUCUAUGUGUUUUGCUUCAUGUACUAGACGCGUUUCAGUUGCGGAAUUGUAUUUAAAAAAUAAAGGG